rnacentral:lncRNA from 1 species
GUUAUUCACUACAGUGAGAAGUUAAAGUGAAUUUCAAACUCUUCGAGGCCUAUAUAGACGAAAUGGAACCAUAGCUGAUUUGGAGAAUUUUUCCGGUUCAACUAUUUUCACCUUAAAUUUGAAAUUUGCUUUAAAUUUUCACCUUAGUGAAACUUUAACUGGUUCCGAACUUGGACAAAUACCUUCGUCCUCAAGGGGUUAAUAAGAAGAGACACAAGGAAAUGGUUUAGAAUUUAUUUGAACAUUUGGUUUACAUUAACAUUUGAAAUCCCUACUUUUUGCCUGCAACAAAACAAUUGCAACUUUAAAAACUCAUUACUUUUUGAUUUGAAUGUCAGUUGUAGAUGCAUUUAAACUGUGGUAUCACUUUAUAAAAUGUUUAAAUAGGCAAACUAAGCAACGUAACCAUUACUGUUCACACCGUAUACUAUUGUCCAGUGAGUUUCUGGGUGCUGUCCCUAGCCUAACAGCCAUUCAAGGUUGGAUGGAUGACAGUAAUUUAACUUUCACAUUAUCUAAGCAGCUUUAGAGAGGUCGGGUUUUGAUUGUAGGGGAGAUUACUACUUUUAGCAAAGCUUUAAAAUAAUUUAACAGAAAACAAAGCCACAGCACCCAAUGCUCUACUGAAUCACGGCCACAACGGGUGGUUAUGGUGCAUUGUGUCAAUUUUAGAAACACUACAAACAUCUAAAGCUUUCGAAGAUGACUUAUAAAUAUGCUGCAACACACACAUGUGUGGUUCAAAAGGCUUCUCAGUGGUUAUUCCCCAGCACAGCAGAGGAAGCUUAUGGCAUGGAAGAAGAGGAGGACUUGCAGAUACUAGAUCUGCAGCUAUUGCAAGCAAAUUUUUCCACAUACCCCUAAAGAAAACAUGCAAAAUUAUUACAGGUUUAAUUUGGGGUAUAUCUGCUAAAUUGUCUUUUUUAAAUGGAGUGUUCCCUUAAAAUGACACCCGUCGCCUUAAAACUAUUUUUUUAAUAUAAGAAUCCCAUCAUUGAGUUUUGAAAGGAAAUAGUAUUUAUUUUGCAAAUUAAGUGUAUGUGAAAAAAUAAUCCCUACCUUUUAGUAUAUGAUAGGGUCAUCCAGCCAUAGAUGUGCACAGUGAAUCAGACAGUGUGAAAAACCUCUAUAUAGUCUCUAUGGUCUUCACCGCUUCAUUCCCUGUGCAGUGAGACCAACUAUCGUCAAACAGACUAACUAUAACAUUCAAACACUGUCUGACCCAAGGUGCAAAUAUAUGACCGAAUGAUUAUAUAAUUUUAUUUGGGAUUUUGUUUUUCAUGUACUUAAUUUAAAAACCAGAUCGAUUUUCUUUCCAAAUUUGAUGAAAGAAUUAUAUUAAAUAGUUUUGAGGUGACAAUAUUACUCUGGCUUACUCUUCAAAUGAAGAUUGUAAAAAAUAUUCUAUACUUUCUUUCAGAAAAAAUAGUAGUCAAGUUUGAAUUUCUGUAUGGUGUAAUACAGUAACAGAAGCAAAUGUUUUCAGAUAUGUACAACUUUACAAAUAUAUAAAAUCUAUUUCUCCCACGGGCAUCCCAGUUACAUUUCACUGUACAACGGUCUUACAAUUUUUAAGAAUUUAAAUAUAAUAAACAAUAAUAUGAACCAUCCCACUCCACUAAUGGAAAACAAAUUUCAUUCACUUAUUGUUUUUUAUGAUUUUGUUUUAAUGCUUGAAAUGAGGAUUAAAUGUGCUCAUUUUAAUCUAAACUAAUUGAAGAUCUUGUGUUUUAUCUUGGAAUAAUAUAUAUAUAUAUAUAU